CAUGUAGGCGGCCGUGCAAGCGUCUUGUGAAAUCCCUCGGCUCAACCGAGGAACUGCUGGGCGAACUGCACGGCUUGAGGCAGGUAGGGGUGCGUGGAACUCUUGGUGGAGCGGUGAAAUGCGUAGAUAUCAAGAGGAACGCCGGAGGCGAAAGCGGCGCACUGGGCCUGUCCUGACGCUGAGAUGCGAAGGCUAGGGUAGCGAACAGGAUUAGAUACCCUGGUAGUC
rnacentral:rRNA from 1 species